UGAUGCCAGGGUCCCAAGGUCUGAGCCCACAUGAGCUUGCUCUAUAGUGGGCUCAGACCUUGGGAUCCGCCCCGAUAUGAGCAUAAAAGUGGGAUGUAUAUCCCACGAUAUGCGAAUAGCGGGUAGGAUUGUGGGUUGCCGAGUGCCAGUGGCACUCGUUUGGCAACGACCGGAGUGAAACGGAGAUGCGAAGCACGCAACAAUCCGUAGGCAUCA
rnacentral:sRNA from 1 species